rnacentral:rRNA from 1 species
CUGUGAAGCGGAGCAAAUCUCAAAAACCGGUCCCAGUUCGGAUUGUAGGCUGCAACUCGCCUACAUGAAGUCGGAGUUGCUAGUAAUCGCGGAUCAGAAUGCCGCGGUGAAUGCGUUCCCGGGUCUUGUACACACCGCCCGUCACACCAUGGAAGUUGGGGGCGCCCGAAGUUGCCUAAGAAAUAAGGUACCUAAGGCGAAACCAAUGACUGGGGUGAAGUCGUAACAAGGUACC